rnacentral:tRNA from 1 species
GAGGGUAUAGCUCAGUGGUAGAGCACAUGCUUAGCAUGCAUGAGGUCCUGGGUUCAAUCCCCAGUACUUCCA